AUUGAACGCUGGCGGCAUGCCUUACACAUGCAAGUCGAACGGCAGCACGGGUGCUUGCACCUGGUGGCGAGUGGCGAACGGGUGAGUAAUACAUCGGAACAUGUCCUGUAGUGGGGGAUAGCCCGGCGAAAGCCGGAUUAAUACCGCAUACGAUCCACGGAUGAAAGCGGGGGACCUUCGGGCCUCGCGCUAUAGGGUUGGCCGAUGGCUGAUUAGCUAGUUGGUGGGGUAAAGGCCUACCAAGGCGACGAUCAGUAGCUGGUCUGAGAGGACGACCAGCCACACUGGGACUGAGACACGGCCCAGACUCCUACGGGAGGCAGCAGUGGGGAAUUUUGGACAAUGGGCGAAAGCCUGAUCCAGCAAUGCCGCGUGUGUGAAGAAGGCCUUCGGGUUGUAAAGCACUUUUGUCCGGAAAGAAAUCCUUGACUCUAAUACAGUCGGGGGAUGACGGUACUGGAAGAAUAAGCACCGGCUAACUACGUG
rnacentral:rRNA from 1 species